UCAUCCAUGAGCUCAGUGGUAGAGCAUCUGACCGGUGGGCGGAAUGUCAUAGGUUAGACUCCUGUUGGGGGAA